rnacentral:rRNA from 1 species
UGAACGCGUAGCGGCAGGCUUAACACAUGCAAGUCGAGGGGCAGCACGGGUAGCAAUACCUGGUGGCGACCGGCGCAAGGGUGCGUAACGCGUGAGCAACAUGCCCUAUAUAGGGGGAUAAUCCAGGGAAACUUGGUCUAAUAUCCCAUAGCAUUUAGAGGAGGCAUCUUCACUAAAUUAAAGCUUCGGUGGUAUAGGAUUGGCUCGCGUGACAUUAGCUAGAUGGUGAGGUAACGGCCCACCAUGGCUAUGAUGUCUAGGGGUUCUGAGAGGAAGACCCCCCACACUGGGACUGAGACACGGCCCAGACUCCUACGGGAGGCAGCAGUGAGGAAUAUUGGACAAUGGAUGGAAAUCUGAUCCAGCCAUGCCGCGUGCAGGAAGACGGCCCUAUGGGUUGUAAACUGCUUUUAUAUGGGAGCAAUAAGGUUUACGAGUAGACCGAUGAGAGUACCAUAUGAAUAAGCAUCGGCUAACUCCGUG